rnacentral:rRNA from 1 species
UACGUAGGGGGCAAGCGUUGUCCGGAUUUAUUGGGCGUAAAGAGCGUGUAGGCGGCCAUACAGGUCAGCUGUGAAAACUCGAGGCUCAACCUCGAGACGUCGGUUGAAACCGUUUGGCUAGAGUCCGGAAGAGGAGAGUGGAAUUCCCGGUGUAGCGGUGAAAUUCGUAGAUAUUCGCAAGAACACCAGUGGCGAAGGCGGCUCACUGGCCCGGUACUGACGCUGAGGUGCGAAAGCGUGGGGAGCAAACAGG